rnacentral:rRNA from 1 species
UAAACGUCUCAGUUCGGAUUGUAGUCUGCAACUCGACUACAUGAAGCUGGAAUCGCUAGUAAUCGCGGAUCAGAGUGCCGCGGUGAAUACGUUCCCGGGUCUUGUACACACCGCCCGUCACACCAUGGGAGUCAGUAACGCCCGAAGCCGGUGACCUAACCGAAAGGGAGGAGCCGUCGAAGGUGGGACCGAUAACUGGGGUGAAGUCGUAACAAGGUAGC